AGUUGUAUGGUUGGGUUACACCAAAUGGUUGUAAGUAUUGCUGUUGCAAUGGUUUGUCUUUUUAUCCUUUGUCUCUCAAUUUUAGUAUUCCCUUUCGCUUCCCUAGUUCCAAUACACCUAUAUAAAGUAUCCAGGAUACUAUGAUCACAUACAGUGGUAGCAAGGGUACAGCCACAGGAAGGGACUACAAGA